rnacentral:rRNA from 1 species
UCUUUAUUUUAAAAAUUUUUUUUUACUUAAGUAGUGUGAACAUAUAUUAAGUGGCAUAGAAAAUUAUUAUACUUUUUAAUGUUUUAAACUUAAAAGGCUUGGCGGUGUUAUAUAUCCUUCCAGAGGAGUUUGCUUAUUUAUUUGAUAAUCCUCAAUUUAUACUUACUUUUUUUUGAACGGUUAAUCAUCAGUUUGUAUAUUGCUGUCAUCAGUUUAUUUUGUAAAAAUUAUGUAAGAAACUUAAUAAUUAAGAAAUUACUAUGUCAAGUCAAAAUGCAGCUAAUAGAAAAGGUUUAUAAAGUGAACUACAGUUUAUAAUUUUUAAUCGGAUUAGAUUGUGUAAUCGGUUUUUGAAGUUGGAUUUGGUAGUAAUAUUAUAAUAGUGAGUUUUUAUGAAUUAGGUUUUAUAGUGCGU